rnacentral:rRNA from 1 species
GCUGUAACUGUGACGUUACCUACAGAAGAAGGACCGGCUAACUCCGUGCCAGCAGCCGCGGUAAUACGGAGGGUCCGAGCGUUAAUCGGAAUUACUGGGCGUAAAGCGUGCGCAGGCGGUUUGUUAAGCGAGAUGUGAAAGCCCCGGGCUCAACCUGGGAAUUGCAUUUCGAACUGGCGAACUAGAGUCUUGUAGAGGGGGGUAGAAUUCCAGGUGUAGCGGUGAAAUGCGUAGAGAUCUGGAGGAAUACCGGUGGCGAAGGCGGCCCCCUGGACAAAGACUGACGCUCAGGCACGAAAGCGUGGGGAGCAAACAGGAUUAGAUACCCUGGUAGUCCACGCCGUAAACGAUGUCUACUCGGAGUUUGGUGUCUUGAACACUGGGCUCUCAAGCUAACGCAUUAAGUAGACCGCCUGGGGAGUACGGCCGCAAGGUUAAAACUCAAAUGAAUUGACGGGGCCCCC